UCGUCACUUUGCUUUCUCCGCCAGCCGCCUCUUCUGCUGCUCUGCAGCACGCCGCAUCCUCUCCCGCGAUGUCGCCCUACCACCAUGGCCUCACUCCAUCUCCUCCUAUCCCCACCACGGCGAUGCCCCGUCGGCCCUUAUCCCCACCACGGCCUCGGGCCGCUGCCUCCUCUCACCACCGCGGCCUUGCCUCGCCAUCAACCCCGCGGCUCUUCUCCAGAUCGACCCUGUCGCCGCCAUCCUACUGCCCCAAAGUAUAUCGAGAUGCGAGGUGCUGGACACGAUGCAGGCGCAGGCAUCUCGAAUUGGACCGAGAUCCAGUGCGUCGACGUGCCCGCCGUAAUCAUCGCCCCCUGUUCUUGGCUCACACAGUUGCUCCGGGAAGGAGUUCGCAGCUGGCGUAUGUGCUCGGUUGCUGAAGGCACCUUCGCCACAUUGUCAUUCAUUUGUGAGAUGUUUCUCUUUCUUUAUGUUGGCAUGCAUGAUAUAGAGUAGUGGACGAUUGUUAGUGAAGCACAUAUAGGUAAGCUAUCUAUCUGGUUCUUUCCGUGUGUGUAGUAAGAUAGUUGUUGUUCAAAUCCAGAAAUUGUAACAUUUUCUAUACUAUAUGCAGCCCAAUGAAAUGUAUGGCCUUGAGCUCCAUUAUUUAGGCUAGAUCUCAUGAGAGGUGUUGUGUCUAUUGCAUUGGCAUACAGUAAGGUAAAGAAUUGCAUUGGCACAUCAAAUCUGUUGAUCAAAUAUGCUUCAGGAAUACUAUGCAGUGAAAAAAUAAACAUAAUAGCAUACCAAAAUACCCUGUUAAGCAUAAAUGCUCUGAGUUAUAUUAGGAGGCGUACCCAUCCGUCUGAAGACUGCUCUUAAUAUAUUCUUCUCUUUUCCAUGUUGUAACACUUAGAUCAGUCCACUUAUUGGAUUUUAAUUCCAUGUGCUCGGAUGCAUAUUUGAAUAAAUCCUCCGGUCCUUCUAGCUGUUGUACCAACAAAUGAAAAAAGUAUAAGCAUGACAUGAGAGAAAUAAGAAAAAAAUGCUUCUUAUGCAAAGAUGGGGCAGUAGGACUAACUACUAACCGUAUCAGUGAGGUCCUUGCGAUUCAUUGAUGGGCCUAGCGAGUCGAGCACUUGAACACAUAGUUUUCUAGCAUUUAUAACACAUAGGUAGCAGUGAACGUCGUCCAUGUUUAUUGGAAUGAAUAUCUGAAAAAAAUGAUUAUUUUAGUUGUACUCCUAUGUAGACGAAUCGGUCGUUCUCGCUAAAAUUCAUAGAAAUAUGUAGAAAACUAAGACUAACCAUAUCAUUUUCAAAAUAUUCUUUGGCUCUAUUUAAUACCCAUACUGGUGCAGCAUCCAUGUCAUCUGAGGGUAGAUAGCCACCGAUCUUUAUCAUCUUAGAGAUGCAUGCAUUUUCUAAGAACACACUUCCACCUGACCUUACCUAUAGAUGCUCCAUCGCAGUCAUGCAAUUUAUAUACGUAUUUAUGACCUACAAUUAAAAGUAUGAACCAAGCAGUAGUGAAUUAAAGCACAAUUACAUUUUUCCACAUGAUUGUGUCCACACGACGGCUUACUGAGUAUGUUGACUGGCGUCAUCCUCCCUCCAAUGUUUUGCAUCUGGUAUGUAUCAUUUUUGUGUAGCCAAUCACAAUCUUCAUCGGCUACAGAAAUAUUGAGUGACUAUCAAUUAGGAAAUCAAAGAUUGGAUAUCAUGUGUUUGAUGUAGCUGGCAUCACCUGUACUGGAUUGAGUUUGUUCUCCGGUUGUUGGGACAACUGUAGAUUUGGCUCGGCACCGUUUCUCACGUAGGCUCUGUAAUAUCCCUUCUUCAUGUUGCUCAUACCGGGCAUUUUCCCUCUCCCUCUUAAGUGCUUGUUUUUCUUUCUGUAGAAUAAGUGUGAAUUAUGUACAGUAGACAAUGCAAUAUGAGAAGAAGUUGUUUUUCCUCUGUACGAUCUAAGUGUCAAUUAUGUAUCAUAGAUAAUAUGAGGAACAGUUGAUUACCAUAUGACAUGCUGCAUUUGUAGGCUUGAAGUGGUGGUCGUAACCCAGUUAGUUGGGAGGACUCAAUGGCAGACUCGACAUGUUGACAUCUUCGGGUGUUCUUAAUGAAUUUGGACCAUGAAGUGGAGUCUGAUCAGUCAUUACGACAUCAACAGUGGCAGGGGCGGAAUUACUACUAUGGCGCGGGCCACCGGAGGUAGGGCAGCGCGCCGGGUCGAGGAUGGCCAUCGGGUCGACGACGGCGUGGAGAUCAGGGACGAGGACGACGGGGCGAGACGGAGGUUUCGUUCAGACGACACGGCCACCGGGUCAACGACGGCGUGGAGAUCAGGGGCGAGGCCGAGGUUUCGUUCAGACGGCACGGUCGCCGGGUUGAUGACGACGCGAAGACAAGGGGUGAGGAUGGCGGAGCAAGGCCGAGGUUCCGUUCAGAUGGCACGGCCACCGGGAUGAGGAUGUCGCGGACCCCAAGGGCGAGGCCAGGUUCAUGGCGUGGUGGCGGCGUUGAUUGUGGAUGUAUUGUUUAGUUUCUAGGAGGUGCCAUCGUUGGGUUGUGUAGCAUCCCGGACGAAGGAGUCUGCCGACAGAACAUUUGUUUUCACCGUCGAUCUGAUUGUAGUAUGGUGAUGUAAUGUGGGCAGUUGGAUGGUAUUACGUGGGUCUGAUCGAACAUGGAGGGUUAUUCCGUGUGCA